UACGUAGGGUGCGAGCGUUGUCCGGAAUUAUUGGGCGUAAAGGGCUCGUAGGCGGUUUGUCACGUCGGGAGUGAAAACUCGGGGCUCAACCCCGAGCCUGCUUCCGAUACGGGCAGACUAGAGGUAUGCAGGGGAGAAUGGAAUUCCUGGUGUAGCGGUGGAAUGCGCAGAUAUCAGGAGGAACACCGAUGGCGAAGGCAGAUCUCUGGGCCGUAACUGACGCUGAGGAGCGAAAGCGUGGGGAGCGAACAGG
rnacentral:rRNA from 1 species